rnacentral:lncRNA from 1 species
AAGAACUAUUUGUGUAGAUAAAAAAGAUGGAUCCUGAGGUGGGAUUUUCACACAAAAGGUUUUUACCGUGAUGGUUCAAUUGCCUUGUAGGAAAAAGGUAAAUAACAAAAGUAUCCUCGAACUCAAAGAAAAUUCAAAAUAAAAAGUCCCUUAUCAAAUGGCAAAUCAAAACCCCAAACACAUCAAACGAAAGGAAAACAACUGUCAUAUUCCUGACUUGGUACAGGCAUUUUAUUAAGUAGAAAAUGGUGGAUUGAACCUGGUUUUAAAUCUAGUUAAACCUCUCAAUUGUAUGACUGUCGCAUAAAAUACAAUUAUAUUGAAAAGGAUGUGUGAAAAAAA